ACAAAAAUUGGCCUUCUCUUUCCGGUUCUUCCCGGAGUCGGGAAAAGCUGGGUUGAGGGGGCGAAAAACAAAAAAA
rnacentral:pre_miRNA from 1 species